UGUUUUUUAGUGUGACUGUUUGCUUCUUAAUUCUAGCAUGCCGCGUAUCCGUUCAUUGCCAUGGAGACCAUCGUUCGAACAAUUCAUCUGAACAGGCCUUGAUGAAGUACAGAGACAUUGUGCCAGGAAGUGGCGCAGCUAAGGGCCAAACCAGGGCAUCUGGCUCCAGACUGUCGCCUUGGUCACAGAGCCUUUAACGGUGGGAUGGACAAUAUGUAAGUAGGAGAUGGAUGAAGGUAACGCUCCCGGACAGGGUGCUGUGGACUUCACUUUCUACCCCGAGCCAGGACAGAGGCCUGUGUACAAGGCUGGUUUGUGGAACGCUGUAAGUGUAAUAGACACAUGGAUGUUGGCCAAACUUAGAACAGGUAUAGACUUGAAGCUUCUACUCCCAGUGUUAAGUAGUGAAAUAAACAGCUCUGUUCUUGGCCUAACCCCAGUUUCCUGCUUUUCAGUUGGAUAAAGAUCAAGGCUCUCUUGAUUUAGGAUUACAGGAUCAAGGGACAUGACAAGGCCUGUUAAGCCAUCAGAGACUUUUCAGUGACUCUGUGAGGGACCACAUGGGGAAGGAUGCCAUGUCUAUGCCAACUCUGGAUGGUUCUGUGGAGCCAGGAGCUCCUCUCUGUGAACGUCUGCUCAGUGUUACCAACUUUGGUGGAGGAGAAACAGGUUCAAAACAACCAAUAGACAGAACAGACCAUCUGAGCAGACGAGGUUUCAGCUGAGAGAGAAAGAAGGCCAGAGAGUUGCCCGUGGAGAUUAGCACACAGAUUCAAUUUCCUAUCCACUGCAACUCCAGGAGGAAGAAGUCGCCUUCACAGC